rnacentral:rRNA from 1 species
UACGUAGGGUGCAAGCGUUAUCCGGAAUUAUUGGGCGUAAAGAGCUCGUAGGCGGUUUGUCGCGUCUGCUGUGAAAACUGGGGGCUCAACCCCCAGCCUGCAGUGGGUACGGGCAGACUAGAGUGCGGUAGGGGAGAUUGGAAUUCCUGGUGUAGCGGUGGAAUGCGCAGGAUAUCAGGAGGAACACCGAUGGCGAAGGCAGAUCUCUGGGCCGUAACUGACGCUGAGGAGCGAAAGCCAGGGGAGCGAACGGG